UAAGCCUCCAACGCUUUCACUCCCUAAGUCCCAGGCUGCCAAGCCCAAGUUGCAAUCACCCUCGGUCAAUCUCCAACAAUGUUAAUAUCACCGGCAGAUGAAGUUGAGGCACCCUAUAAAGCGUCACUAAACAGAUGGAUCUUGAAUCCAAAAUGUUUGAAAGGGGUGUAUCAGCAAGUGGAGUCGUAUAUAGUGAUUCGAAGGGGAGGACUCAUGAGGCAUUGAUAAAAGAUGAAGGAGAGGUGAUAUUGAGUGCAGGGGCAAUUGGGAGCCCUCAGCUUCUUCUUCUCAGUGGAGUUGGUCCACUUCCUCAUCUUUCUUCACAUAAGUUUCGGUUGUCAGCCAACACGCUGAUGUGAGAAACUUCACGGCGGAUAAUUCUUGUAAUAGCGUCAACAGAGUAGUCCCAUUUGCAUUGGAACCUUCAACUGGACAAGUUGUACGAAUUACCAGGGAUUUCAAUUACAUAGAGUCACUCUCUUCCGUUACCUCAUUUUCUUUUCCACAACCUUUUAGCUUUUAUCCAAAUGGAACCACUCCUUUAGAAUUGAGUGUGGCAACCAUUGUUGAGAAGUUCUCUGGACCACUUUCGAGUGGCUCCCUACUGCUGGUUUCGUCCUUCGAUGUCAAAGUCAGCCCAACUGUUUGAUUCAACUACUUUGAAGAACCAGAGGACCUUGCUCGUUGUGUAAGAGGAAUGAGGUAGGUAGGUGGUAUGCUGAAGAUCGAUGCCAUGGAAGGGCUCAAGUUCGAAGCUUUAGAGGGUGCUGAAGGUUUCAAGAUUUUAGGACCUUCUUUGCCAAGUAAUCAGUCAGAUGAUGCAUCAAUGGAGGCAUUUUGUCGAAGCACAGUGACAACCUUCUGGCAUUACCAUGGUGGAUGCUUGGUGGGAAAGGUUGUUGAUGGCGAUUUGUGAGUGGUGGUACAAAUUCACUUCGGUAGAUGAAUCCAUAUUCAAUACAUCACCCGGAACCAACCCUCAUGCCAUCCUCAUGAUGAAAGGUUGGUAUAUUGGGCUUAGGAUUUUGCAGGAAAGGGAGGCAGCAAAAUAGACUGAGCAUUGUUUAUCAUAUAUAUAAUAUAAAUUAAAGAAACUAAUAAAUCAGGGAACUAAAAUUUGCGAAGCGACCAUUGUGUAAGAGGAAUAUGCUCAAUAUCAUUAUGGUCUCGUAUGCAAUUAUAUGUAAUGUUUUGUGCGUGUAGUGACCUGAUUUUUGUUUUUGGUUCAUAUCCGAAGAAAGGAUUCAUACUUUUUGUUUACUCUAUGGAAAUAUCACUCUGAUUAUAGUAGUACAAUAAAA